rnacentral:siRNA from 1 species
GAAGCACAUGACAGUUUGGUUUGC